rnacentral:rRNA from 1 species
GACGAACGCUGGCGGCGUGCUUAACACAUGCAAGUCGAACGCUGAAGCUCAGCUUGCUGGGUGGAUGAGUGGCGAACGGGUGAGUAACACGUGAGUAACCUGCCCUCUUCUUUGGGAUAACGCCCGGAAACGGGUGCUAAUACUGGAUAUUCACUGAUUCUCGCAUGGGGGUUGGUGGAAAGGUUUUUUCUGGUGGGGGAUGGGCUCGCGGCCUAUCAGCUUGUUGGUGGGGUGAUGGCCUACCAAGGCUUUGACGGGUAGCCGGCCUGAGAGGGUGACCGGUCACAUUGGGACUGAGAUACGGCCCAGACUCCUACGGGAGGCAGCAGUGGGGAAUAUUGCACAAUGGGCGAAAGCCGGAUGCAGCGACGCCGCGUGAGGGAUGGAGGCCUUCGGGUUGUAAACCUCUUUCGCUCAUGGUCAAGCCGCAGCUUGGGGUUGUGGUGAGGGUAGUGGGUAAAGAAGCGCCGGCUAACUACGUG